UGUUCUCGUUAGAUCACCGAAGUCAAGCAUCAUUGGUCAUGGUCAGUACUUGGGUGGGUGACCACCUGGGAACACCGCGUGCCGU
rnacentral:rRNA from 1 species